UUUACGGAGAGUUUGAUCCUGGCUCAGGAUGAACGCUGGCGGCGUGCUUAACACAUGCAAGUCGAACGGUGAAAGAGAGCUUGCUCUCUGGAUCAGUGGCGAACGGGUGAGUAACACGUGAGCAAUCUGCCCCUGACUCUGGGAUAACAGCUGGAAACAGCUGCUAAUACCGGAUACGAGUUGCGAAGGCAUC
rnacentral:rRNA from 1 species